CGUGCGGUUCUAUUUUGUUGGUUUCUAGGACCGCCGUAAUGAUUAAUAGGGACAGUCGGGGGCAUCAGUAUUCAAUUGUCAGAGGUGAAAUUCUUGGAUUUAUUGAAGACUAACUACUGCGAAAGCAUUUGCCAAGGAUGUUUUCAUUAAUCAGGAACGAAAGUUAGGGGAUCGAAGACGAUCAGAUACCGUCGUAGUCUUAACCAUAAACUAUGCCGACUAGGGAUCGGGCGGUGUUAUUUUUUGACCCGCUCGGCACCUUACACGAAAGUAAAGUUUUUGGGUUCUGGGGGGAGUAUGGUCGCAAGGCUGAAACUUAAAGAAAUUGACGGAAGGGCACCACCAGGGGUGGAGCCUGCGGCUUAAUUUGACUCAACACGGGGAAACUCA
rnacentral:rRNA from 1 species